rnacentral:rRNA from 1 species
GACGAACGCUGGCGGCGUGCCUAAUACAUGCCAGUUGAGCGAUGAAGCUUGGUGCUUGCCCCAAUUUGAAGAGCAGCGAACGGGUGAGUAACGCGUGGGGAAUCUGCCUUUGAGCGGGGGACAACAUUUGGAAACGAAUGCUAAUACCGCAUAACAACUUUAAACAUAAGUUUUAAGUUUGAAAGAUGCAAUUGCAUCACUCAAAGAUGAUCCCGCGUUGUAUUAGCUAGUUGGUGAGGUAAAGGCUCACCAAGGCGAUGAUACAUAGCCGACCUGAGAGGGUGAUCGGCCACAUUGGGACUGAGACACGGCCCAAACUCCUACGGGAGGCAGCAGUAGGGAAUCUUCGGCAAUGGACGAAAGUCUGACCGAGCAACGCCGCGUGAGUGAAGAAGGGUUUCGGAUCGUAAAACUCUGUUGGUAGAGAAGAACGUUGGUGAGAGUGGAAAGCUCAUCAAGUGACGGUAACUACCCAGAAAGGGACGGCUAACUACGUG